rnacentral:rRNA from 1 species
UUGUAGUCUGNAACCCGACUACAUGAAGCUGGAAUCGCUAGUAAUCGCAGGUCAGCAUACUGCGGUGAAUACGUUCCCGGGUCUUGUACACACCGCCCGUCACACCAUGGGAGCCGGAAAUGCCCGAAGCCAGUGACCCAACCUUAGGGAGGGAGCUGUCGAAGGUGGAGCCGGUAACUGGGGUGAAGUCGUAACAAGGUAAC